rnacentral:tRNA from 5 species
GAGAUAUUAGUAAAAAUAUAUUACAUAACUUUGUCAAAGUUAACUUAUAGGUUUAAAUCCUUUAUAUCUUU